rnacentral:misc_RNA from 1 species
AAAGUCGUAACAAGGUAUCCGUAGGUGAACCUGCGGAUGGAUCAUUCAUGGUGUAUGCGCAACUCUUGGGUUGUCGUAUAUGUCUUGUGCAAUGUGAAUUGGAGGAAUGGGAUUUCCAUUACGGUGGGAGUCCCAGCCUUUUUUAAACCAUCUUUUUACUUAAUAUUCUGAUAAAAGCAAUAAAAUUGCAAAACUGCCAGCAAUGGAUCCCUCGGUUCUC